rnacentral:tRNA from 1 species
AAUGAAUUGCCUGAUUAAAAGGGCUAUCUUGAUAGGAUAAAACAUACGGUUUCGUAUUCAUUA